AGAGGUAGUCCUUAGAACUCUGGAAUUUGGAUAUAAAUUUCCCACAGUAGGAACAAUCAGAUAUAUACACAUACGGCAAGAUUAGAAACAACUUUCCAGGGGCUGGCCCAGUGGCGCAGCAGUUAAGUUUGCAUGUUCCACUUCUUGGUGGCCCGGACUUCGCCGGUUAGGAUCCUGGGUGUGGACAUGGCACCGCUUGGUGAAAGCCAUGCUGUGAUCAGGGAGGAUGGCCAUGGAACAGUGAGAAUGAUGGGAAACUACCACACCCACAGCCACAUCAGGAAAACCCACCUGCAGAACCAGAAGAGCCACAGGUCACAUCCAAGUUGGCUGUGCCUCCAACUGUCUGUAUCAGAUGGAUAAUGGGGAUGACUCCUCCCUGUGCCUGGAUCAUAGAGGCUGGCACAGGCCAUGGGGAAGCUGCUGCUUCUCUUCAAGAACUUUAGUUCAUGAUUUUCACCUUUUGGAGCUGACAUUCUAACAAAUCACAUAGACAUCUGCACUGGUUUGUAUGUUGCAUACCCCUGACACUGAACGCUCUAUAACAUGGUGAUUUUCAACUUUACCAGGUCAUUCACAGUGGGAAAUUAUUUUUGACUUUUCAGUAAUUGCCCUUUUUUUUUUUUUUGCUGAGAAAGAUAUGCCCUGAGCUAACAUCUGUUGCCAAUCUUCCUCUUUUUGCUUGAGAAAGAUUUGACUUGAGCUAACAUCCCUGCCAAUCUUCCUCUAUUUUGUGGGUUGCCACCACAGCAUGUCCACUGAUGAGUAGUGUCGGUUUGCCCCGGGGAACUGAACCCAGGCUGCCAAAAGGGAGCACGCUGAACUGUACCACUAGGCCAUGGGGCUGGCUCUCUAUUGUUUGAUUUUUUUGUGUUUUUGGUGAGAAAGAUUAUCCCUAAGCUAACAGCUGUUG
rnacentral:lncRNA from 1 species